rnacentral:rRNA from 1 species
UACGGAGGGUGCAAACGUUGCUCGGAAUCAUUGGGCGUAAAACGCUUGUAGGUGGCUACGUCAAGUCGGACGUGAAAUCUCCCGGCUUAACUGGGAGGGGUCGCUCGAUACUGGCGAGCUCGAGGCAGGUAGGGGGAAGCGGAAUUCCCGGUGUAGUGGUGGAAUGCGUAGAUAUCGGGAGGAACACCAGUGGCGAAGGCGGCUUCCUGGACCUGUUCUGACACUGAGGAGCGAAAGCGUGGGGAGCGAUCCGG